GGCGUGUAUGCAAGUCACCAGCUGGCUUUCCUGUGGUCACCUCAUAGCAAGUUUGCCAUUUUCAGCAUGUCUCUUUUACCAAGAGUUCCCAAGAGGAGAGCACGGCUACUGGUGACCCCGGCCGACGACAACCCCUGGCCGAGUACAUCUCUGAGUAGCAGAUGAGGAGGAGAGAGCUGACAGACUCAGUUUAGAGUAAUCACAUAUUUUGAUGAAUAAAUUUCAGUGAGGUGACCCCAGCUUCAUGUAUUGACAUCUGGGAAAGCUCCUCCGACUCUUCAACGACCCUGUUUAACGGACUGGUGUCUGCCAUAACUGCAGACACAUUACAAACCUCAUGGACACCAUCUUGAAAGAGGGAGUUUUACGCAGAGCCAGACAAAUGUGGAAUGACAUCCGGACAGCUGAUGACCUUCGUGACUUCGAAGAGAACAACAGACAAUUCCACCAAGGCCGCUUAUUGCCAAUAUGUAAUGUGGAAAAUCUACAAGGACAUUAUAUAGGAUUCAGACAAAGCAGAUAACAAGGAACCACAUUUCAUAUUUUCAAAGCAUUGCUGCAGUAGAAAUUUGCAAGUUAUAUUACUUUAUAAUUAUUUGCUGAUCCAUUUGAAACAUCUUUGUUUUUAAAUUACUUCCAGGAAUGUCUGAGCCGGCACGGUAGACGAUUGGUUAGCACAUCUGCCUCACACUUCUGGGGACCAGGGUUCAAAUCCCGGCUCCGCCUGUGUGGAGUUUGCAUGUUCUCCCCGUUCCUCCGUGGGUUUUCUCCAGGCACUCCGAUUUCCUCCCACAUCCCAAAAACAUGCGUGGUAGGUUGAUUGAAGACUCUAAAUUGCCCAUAGAUGUGAAUGUGAGUGUGAAUGGUUGUUUGUUUCUAUGUGACCUGCGAUUGGCUGGCGACCGGUUCAGAGUAUACCUCGCCUCCCGCCCGAAGAUUGCUAGGAUAGGCUCCAGCAGUCCGCGACCCCAUUGAGGAUAAGCGGUAAAGAAAAUGGGUGGAUGGAUGGAAUGUCUGCCCAUUUACCUCUGCUAUUUUGAAAUUGUACAAUUGUUAUAAAUAAAGACCUGAAAAUGAAUGGUUCCCUCUUCACAAUUGCCA